AUUGAACGCUGGCGGAAUGCUUUACACAUGCAAGUCGAGCGGCAGCACGGGGGCAACCCUGGUGGCGAGCGGCGAACGGGUGAGUAAUACAUCGGAACAUGCCCAGUCGUGGGGGAUAACACUUCGAAAGAAGUGCUAAUACCGCAUACGUCCUGAGGGAGAAAGCGGGGGAUCUUCGGACCUCGCGCGAUUGGAGUGGUCGGUGUCAGAUUAGCUAGUUGGUGGGGUAAAGGCCUACCAAGGCAACGGUCUGUAGCUGGUCUGAGAGGAUGAUCAGCCACACUGGGACUGAGACACGGCCCAGACUCCUACGGGAGGCAGCAGUGGGGAAUUUUGGACAAUGGGGGCAACCCUGAUCCAGCCAUUCCGCGUGAGUGAAGAAGGCCUUCGGGUUGUAAAGCUCUUUCGGCAGGAACGAAACGGCGAGCUCUAACAUAGCUUGCUAAUGACGGUACCUGAAGAAGAAGCACCGGCUAACUACGUGCCAGCCGCCGCCGUAAGAC
rnacentral:rRNA from 1 species